GUGAAGGAGCAGCAGCAGCAGUGCCGCCGGCCGGGUGCAGUGAGAGUUGUAAUGCGCGGCUCAAGUCUUGGAACCAGUGUGGCCACUGCCGCAGUUUCCACCGUCGCUUCGGUUCUGCCCACAGGAUGGAUUAUCGGGCGCCAUUGUUGUGUGGUGCGUUGUUUACAGGACAAAGUGAGAGCGCAGCGAGAGUGAGCGAGCGAGUGAGUGAGUGAGUGUGAGAGUGAUCACACGAAUGAAAAAAAAAUCCCGUCCCCGUUGUGUGCUUUUUCCCGUGCUGUGUGGAGUGAGUGGAGUGUUUUACGCCCUUUAUUGGGACUUACGAGUUUAUGUGUGCGUAUUUUUUCACUGUUUAUUUCUGUGUUGUAACCGUCGAUCAUAUUAUCCCAUCUGCACUGUGUGUGUGUGUGCUUUUGGGAAGGAUUAAAUCUUUUUUUGUUGGUUCGACGCCGAGUUUUGGGGCCUGAUUCUAUUUGUUUCUACUUUUUAGCUCCUCCAAAUGGCGCCCCACUGGUCACUUUGAUGGUUUCAAGUAUCGAACAAAACACUUGAAGCGCCCAAUGUUGCCCCUUUUUUGUUUCACCUUCGGUCGAUUUGUGUGCGUGCGCGGAUACGAUACGGUGAGAAAGAUUAACCUGAAAGAUGUGUUUUUGUUCGAUAGAAUAAAGAGAUAGGCUUUAUUUAUGGAAUUAUCUUAAAUACGAUGCUGAUAAAAUUAUACAAGUGUGGACGGGGGCGGUCCGGUGGCCGAGGCGACAGCGGCGCCGGUCUUCUCACGGCAGGGCCGGGGUUCAAAUCCCAUCCAGACCGCCUCCCCGUACGAAAGGCUGACUACUUUUCUACGGGUAAAAUUAAGUCACAGAAAGCCAGAAAUGGCAGGCCGAGACCUCUCGAGGUUGUAGUGCCACAGAAGAAGAAGAAGGACUUAUCAAAGAAAUGCGAAAUAAUGGAUUAAGGCAUGAAAAAUUUAGGAAACUGGCCAUUACAUACGAAAACACCAAUCGGCCAUCGAAAAGCGCCGAAGCGAAUUCGACACCGUCAACCAGAAAAAGGGCUUAGUAAACAUUUUAUCGAUCAUAAUAAAUUUAAUAAGAAAAGUUGUGUGAACAUUUCAAUAAAAUUUGUUUUUU